rnacentral:rRNA from 1 species
AGAGUAUAUUUUUCAGAGGCUACAUACCUACCGCGCUGCCCAAUAGCUGGUUUUCUGAGAAUCGUGUUUUAGCACAGGUAAUAGAGCUAUCUAUUCACCCACUCAAAAAGGGAUAAGCCUUAUUGAACAGACUUUAUUUUACCAAAAAGUAUUAUCUAUUUGUAGGAUUAAAACCAUCCACCAAUUUUUAGCGCGUUAUAGCCACAAGACAAACACAACAAUAAUCAAUACUUUACCAUAAGAUCCAUAUCAGAAUAUAUUUUAAAAUCAAUGCAAAAUAAAAACUAUGCUAGGAUAAGUAUUCUCUUUUAUUAUAGAACUUUUUAAACAACUCUCUUUCUAUUUUAAGUAAAAUAACAAAUAAAAAAGGAACUCGGCAAAUACGAACUUCGACUGUUUACCAAAAACAUUGCCUCCAGAUUUCAUUAUUGGAGGUUCAUCCUGCCCAGUGACACGCGUGUUCAACGGCCGCGGUACCCUGACCGUGCAAAGGUAGCAUAAUCACUCGCCUUUUAAUUGGAGGCUGGUAUGAAUGGAUAAACGAGGGUUCAGCUGUCUCUUUUAUUUCUAUAAAAAUUAAACUCUAGGUGAAGAUGCCUAGAUUUUCAUGUAAGACAAGAAGACCCUAUUGAGCUUUACUUUAUUCAGUUGAAUACUUCUCCCCCUGGGAAGACCAGCACUUGAACAAAGUUUUGUUGGGGCGACAAAGGAAUAAAUAAUUCUUCCUAAACAACAUAGACCUCUAGUCUUUCAAAUGACCCUACAAUGAUCAACGGAACCAGUUACCAUAGGGAUAACAGGCUAAUCCCCCUCGAGAGCCCUGAUUGACAGGGGGGAUUGGCACCUCGAUGUUGGCUUGGGGUAUCCCCCGCGUGCAGAAGCA